AGAGUUUGAUCCUGGCUCAGGACACACGCUAGCGGCGUACUUAACGAAUGCGAGUCGAGCGACGAACGGGAACUUCGGUUCCCCUGAGAGCGGCGAACGGGUGAGUAACACGUAGGUGACCUGCCCCGGAGCCGGGGAUAGCCCGCGGAGACGUGGGGUAAUACCCGGUACGCUCAUCGGCUUAGAUGCCGAUGAGGAAAGGAGCAAUCCGCUCUGGGAUGGGCCUGCGGCCCAUUAGCUAGUUGGUGGGGUAACGGCCUACCAAGGCGACGAUGGGUAGCUGGUCUGAGAGGAUGUCCAGCCACACUGGGACUGAGACAUGGUCCAGACUCCUACGGGAGUUAGCAUCGGGGGAUAUUGCGCAAUGGGCGAAAGCCCGACGCAGUGACGCCGCGUGCAGGAUGAAGGCCCUAGGGUCGUAAACUGCUGUCGGGUGGGAUGAACGCCGAGGGUAAUGCCUCGGUUUGACAGUACCACCCAAGGAAGCCCCAGCUAACUACGUGCCAGCAGCUGCGGUAAUACGUAGGGGGCGAGCGUUGUCCGGAAUUACUGGGCGUAAAGGGCGUCUAGGCGGCUUAGUAAGCGGAAUGUGAAAGCCCAGGGCUCAACCCUGGAAAGCCGUUCCGAACUACUAGGCUUGAGUUCGGGAGAGGGCAGUGGAAUUCCCGGUGUAGCGGUGAAAUGUUUAGAUAUCGGGAGGAACACCAGUGGCGAAAGCGGCUGCCUGGACCGAUACUGACGCUGAAGCGCGAAAGCCAGGGGAGCGAACGGGAUUAGAUACCCCGGUAGUCCUGGCCGUAAACGAUGAACACUAUGUGUUGGGGGCAUCAACCCUUCCAGUGCCGAAGCUAACGCAUUAAGUGUUCCGCCUGGGGAGUACGGCCGCAAGGUUAAAACUCAAAGGAAUUGACGG
rnacentral:rRNA from 1 species